ACGAAAUUCAGGACGUUUGGUGUCAAAGAAGCAACGCUUCUUCAAAACCUGGCAACCAAAUGCUGCUGAAAACGCUGGAACAGAAGACGCGGCACAAUCACGCAAGUUGCUCAAAUCACUUUGGCAUCGGGACAUAUCAGCAGCCAAACUGAUCAUGUACAAAGGUCUUUGCACGCUGCUUGACAUUCCGAUACAUCCAGCACUGCUGCAACGACCAGAUGACGACGGCGUUCCACUUAAUCCAUAAUUCAAAAUCCAGCGUUUAGCAUUAAAGUUUUUUUUAACAAAUAUUUUCUAAUAGUUUAUUAGAGUUCUCAAGCCUUGCACUUAGUGGGCUAUUUUAAGGUUUAUAAGGUGUCUAACUUUAUUUACCGCAGUACAUGAGUGGUUUUAUAGACGUUAUUUGAUGAUCAGAAUGAGUCGUGUUCAUUUUCCGGUUUGACAAUGUCGCCGCAUUCUUUGGAUAUGACUUGUUCAAUGCAUCAUAUCACGGUUAUGAAAAACACCCUAAUGCACCCCUGUUAUUCUUCGUCCAGAGAACUUAAUAUUUUUAACCAUUUAUGCAAGCAUACUCUAUUUUUUCAAAAACCAAUUCGUUCAAUUGAAGUAUCGGGCGCCGCCAAAUGUACAAAUGAUUAGUUCACCAAUUUGGACAAACAUACUCGCCUUUUCUAACAACCAAAGUCAGAAAAACAUACUCCUGUUUAUUGGUAUUCUAAACUAACAAAAUACAUACUCUUGUUUAACGCAAAUCAAGGUCUAUGAUUUGAAAUAAUAUAUUUUGUCUGGAUUGAAUUAAAACUACGGUGAGUU